rnacentral:rRNA from 1 species
CCUACGGGGUGCAGCAGUGAGGAAUAUUGGUCAAUGGACGAGAGUCUGAACCAGCCAAGUAGCGUGAAGGAUGACUGCCCUAUGGGUUGUAAACUUCUUUUAUAUGGGAAUAAAAUGUUCCACGGGGGGGAUUUUGUAUGUACCAUAUGAAUAAGGAUCGGCUAACUCCGGGCCAGCAGCCGCGGUAAUACGGAGGAUCCGAGCGUUAUCCGGAUUUAUUGGGUUUAAAGGGAGCGUAGGUGGAUUGUUAAGUCAGUUGUGAAAGUUUGCGGCUCAACCGUAAAAUUGCAGUUGAAACUGGCAGUCUUGAGUACAGUAGAGGUGGGCGGAAUUCGUGGUGUAGCGGUGAAAUGCUUAGAUAUCACGAAGAACUCCGAUUGCGAAGGCAGUUCACUGGACUGCAACUGACACUGAGGCUCGAAAGUGUGGGUAUCAAACAGGAUUAGAUACCCGGGUAGUC